AUGAUUGCAAGCCGUAUAGUGUGAGAAAAGAUUUGAAAGCUUGCCAAUCCAGAAGGAGCAGUUACCUCGUGACUCCGAUAAUUUGAUAUUCAAGACAUUAGAGGCAAAGAAAGAUUCCGAGUGCCCUUGUUCCAGCCUUGCAGCAUAGUCUUUGUCACUUGGCUGGUUAUUUCUAAAAGCGAAUAUGUUGUAUUUCUUUGUCUCCUUGUCAUUUCUUUCUGUGUUGUAUAUCUUUGUCUCCUGGUUAUGUCCAAAAUCGAAGGGUGUAGAGGUAAAGCCCAUGUCAAACAAUGCUCCUCAAAUAAAGUAUGAUGUUUUUGUUAGCUUCAGGGGCAAGGACAUUCGCCGUGGUUUUCUCAGUCAUUUGAUUGAAGCUUUUCGUAGAAACCAAAUAGAUGUCUUUGUAGAUGAUGGACUUGAGAGAGGACAUGAAAUAUCGUCAUCACUUUCUGGAGCAAUUGAAACAUCAUUAAUUUCAUUGAUCAUAUUCUCAGAAGACUAUGCUUCUUCACAUUGGUGUCUGGAAGAACUUGAGAAAAUAGUUGAGUGCAGAGAUAAAUAUGGACAGACUGUAAUACCUAUUUUCUACAAUGUAGAUCCCACAAAUGUGCGGCAUCAAAAGGAGAGUUAUGGAAAUGCGCUUUCUAAACAUGAAGAAAAUUAUAAUUUGACCAAGGUGCAAACAUGGAGGCAUGCUUUAAACAAAUCUGCUAAUUUAUCAGGAAUUAAGUCAUCAGAUUUCUGGGAUGAUGCCAAGCUCCUUGAUAAAAUCAUCAAAACUGUCAAUCAUGAAUUAAUGAUGAGGUUGAAUAAGCACCCAAUUCAGUCAAAAGGACUUAUUGGAAUUGGCAAACCAAUUGCACAUUUAGAAUCGUUGUUACGUCAAGAUUCAAAAGACGUACGUGUUAUUGGAAUUUGGGGUAUGGGCGGUAUUGGCAAGACAACCAUUGCACAAGAAGUAUUGAACAAACUAAGGUUUGAUUAUGAAGGUUGUUGUUUUUUGGCAAACAUAAGAGAAGAAUCAACAAGAGGUAGAAUCAAAUCCUUAAAAGAGAAACUCUUUUCUACAAUAUUAGCAGAAGAUGUAAAAAUUAACAUAGCAAAUGAAUUGCCUGGUGAUAUUAUGACGAGGCUCGGUCGUAUGAAGGUUCUCAUUGUUCUAGAUGACGUCAAUGAUCCAGAUCAACUAGAAAUUUUAGUUGGAGGUCAUGAUCGAUUUGGAUCCGGUAGUAGAAUCAUUGUAACAACUAGAGAUAUGCAAGUGCUUGUGGCUCACAAAAUUGAUGAUGAUGACAUAUACAGGGUAGGAGCAUUGAAGUUUGAUGAAGCACUUAAGCUUUUCAAUUUGCAUGCCUUCAAACAAAAUCAUAUUGAAAUGGAGUACUCUGAGCUAUCAAAGAGGGUGGUCAAUUAUGCCAAAGGCAUUCCUUUAGUUCUUAAAAUUUUGGGUCAUCUUCUUUGUGGAAAAGAUAAGGAAGUGUGGGAAAGUCAGCUCGACAAAUUUAAAAAAAUGCCAAAUAAGAAAGUUCAUGAUGUGAUGAAACUGAGUUAUGAUGAUCUAGAUCGCAAAGAGCGAACGAUGUUUUUAGAUCUUGCAUGCUUCUUUAGUGGAAUGAAUUUGAAAGUGGGUUACAUAAAACUCUUACUGAAAGAUCAUGAAAGUGAUAAUUCAGUUGUUGUUGGGUUAGAAAGACUCAAAGACAAAGCUCUAAUUAUUAUUUCUGAAGAUAAUGUUGUCUCUGUGCAUGAUAUUAUACAAGAAAUGGCUUGGGAGAUUGUUUGCCAGGAAUCUAGUGAAGACCCAGGAAACUGCAUUCAUUUGGGGGAUCCUAAUGAAGUUUAUGAAGUGUUAAAAUAUGAUAAGGGGACUAAGGCCAUUAGAAGCAUAAGGGCGUUCUUGUCACAAGGCAGGAAGCUCAUGUUGAGCCCUCACAUAUUUGCUAAGAUGAGCAAACUACAAUUUCUGGAUUUUGAAUCCCCAUAUGAUCCAUAUGGCUUGGAUCUUCUUACUCAAGAGCUUCAAUCUUUGCCAACUGAACUAAUAUAUCUUCGUUGGACGAAUUACCCUCUGAAAUCCUUGCCGGUGAAAUUUUUUGCGGAAAAACUUGUUAUUUUGGACUUAUCAGAGAGUAGAGUGAAAAAACUUUGGGAUGGAAUGCAGAAUCUGGUGAAUUUAAAAGAAGUUAUACUUAGUAGAUCCCAUUUUCUAAAGGAGCUGCCAGACUUUUCAAAAGCCACAAAUCUUGAAGUACUUAAUAUCUCUUGGUGUGUUGAGUUGACUAGCGUGCAUAUUUUCUCUCUGCACAAGCUUGAGAAAUUGGAUGCAAGGUUCUGCAGUUCCCUUAUCAGACUCACAAGCGAUGCCCAUUUAACCUCCCUCAACUAUCUCAGACUUGAAUACUGCGAUAAUCUCAGGGAAUUCUCGGUGACAUCAGUGAAUAUGAUAGAACUGAAUUUACAAUACACUCGUUUGGAUGCAUUGCCCACAUCCUUUGGACAUCAAAGCAAGCUUGAAAUCCUAGAUCUUGCAGGCUGUCGCAUUGAGAGCUUGCCUUCAUCCAUUAAAAAUCUUACAAGACUGCGACAUCUAAGCGUGUGUAAUUGUAGGAAGCUUCGGACUCUGCCUGAGCUUUCCCCCUCCCUUGAAACUCUACUUGUCGAAGGGUGCAUAUCACUAGAGACUGUAUUGUUCCCUUCAACAGCCACUGAACAAUUCAAUGAAAAUAGGAGAAGGGUAGGGUUCUGGAAUUGCUUGAACUUGGACAAGUAUUCUCUCAUGGCUAUUGAGUUGAAUGCGCAAAUUAACGUGAUGAAUAUAGCACAACAUAUAUCCACUCCAGAACACGAUUAUGUUGAAAAUUACUAUGAUCAAGCUACGUACGUGUACGUGUAUCCAGAAAGUAGAGUUCCAGAGUGGUUGGAGUAUAAGACGAAAACUGAUUAUGUAAUUAUUGAUCUCUCUUCUGCUCCACCCUCCCCUCCAUUAGGCUUCAUUUUCUGCUUCAUCAUCGGAGGGGGGCAAAGAUUUCAGUCAUUGAAAUUUAACAUCAUUAUCAGUGAUUGUGAGGGUGAGGGUAUCAUGGGCAGUGUCGAUAUGUACAUGUCUUCGCAAUUCAUCAUCACUCGCUCUGAUAACGUGUGUGUGAUGUACGACCAGCGCUGUUCUCGCUACCUAAAUAGCAGUGCCGAAACACAGACAAGGUUUAAAAUCAAGGUUACAGCAAGCUCAGGAUCAUGGAACCUUCUACAAAUUAUAGGGAAUUCGGAAUUUGAUAAGCCGAUUGCAUUAGAGGGGUUCGGGGUAAGCCCAAUAAGCACCCUGGCAUAUCGCAACUUCAGUCAUCAAAUGAAAUUUGGGUGAUUGUUCUCUAAAUACGUCGAUGUUGUGUAACUAAUGGAAUUCGGUUGUGCUUAGUAUCAUCCGAUGAAUCUCCUUCUGGUUUAAGGCGGUGUUCUUAAUGGAAGGACUAUUGCUGUGAUUUUAGAUAGACACUAGCAAUAUUUGCGCCAGAAUAGCAGGGCCUUAUACCUAUUGCUGGUCAUUAAAUUUGCACGCAAGUUUGGUUGUUAGUAUAUUUGCUAACUGAUGUGGCACUUGCAUUCAAUUUACAUGUAUGUAAAAGUUGUACAAGAUCAAUUGAUCAAAACACAUCUCCAAUGGAGUUUAGCCCAUCAAGUUGCCAAGUGUUGUGUGAACUCAAAUGAAUAAAAUUUUGUGAUCUUUGAAAUGUAUUGUACACAACAUUUGGGCGGUGAUCCACACCAUGAA